UUGGCUUAGAAGCAGCCAUCAUUUAAAGAAAGCGUAAUAGCUCACUGGUCGAGUCGGCCUGCGCGGAAGAUGUAACGGGGCUAAACCAUGCACCGAAGCUGCGGCAGCGACGCUUAUGCGUUGUUGGAUAGGGGAGCGUUCUGUAAGCCUGUGAAGGUGUGCUGUGAGGCAUGCUGGAGGUAUCAGAAGUGCGAAUGCUGACAUAAGUAACGAUAAAGCGGGUGAAAAGCCCGCUCGCCGGAAGACCAAGGGUUC
rnacentral:rRNA from 1 species